rnacentral:lncRNA from 1 species
GCGCAUCUGUAGCCAUGAAGUGCCAUCUUGUCCAAUAUGCCUCUACCCACCCACUGCAGCCAAGAUAACCCGCUGUGGACACAUUUUCUGCUGGGCCUGCAUCCUGCACUAUCUCUCACUCAGUGAGAGAACCUGGAGCAAAUGUCCCAUCUGCUACAGCUCUGUGCACAAGAAGGAUCUCAAGAGUGUUGUUGCCACAGAGUCUCGACAGUAUGUUGUGGGUGACACCAUUACGAUGCAGCUGAUGAAGAGAGAGAAAGGAGUGUUGGUGGCCCUGCCCAAAUCCAAGUGGAUGAAUGUAGACCAUCCUAUUAGUCUAGGAGACGAGCAGCACAGCCAGUACUCCAAGCUGCUGCUGGCCUCUAAGGAGCAGGUGCUGCACCGGGUGGUUCUGGAGGAGAAAGUCGCGCUGGAGCAGCAGCUUGCCGAAGAGAAGCACACUCCUGAGUCCUGCUUUAUUGAGGCUGCUCUCCAGGAGGUCAAGAUUCGGGAAGAAGCUCUGUCAGGAGUGGCUGGAGGCAGAGCGGAGGUCACUGGUGUUGUGACUGCUCUGGAACAACUGGUGCUGAUGGCUCCCCUGGCCAAGGAGUCUGCUUUUCAACCCAGGAAGGUUUGUUCCAACAGGGUGUGCUAGAGUAUCUGUCUGCUUUUGAUGAAGAAGCUGCACAAGUUUGUUCUCUGGACCCCCCUGGUCCUCUCGCUCUCCCUUUGGUAGAAGAAGAGGAAGCAGUGUCUGAGCCAGAAGCCUGUGAGGACUUAAUAGCUGAUGACAGUCUUGGAGAGGGGACCGUCUGUGCCGAGUUGAGCCAGGAGGAGCCCAUCGCUAAGCCAGGCUUCACACAGCUGAGCAGCUCUCCCUGUUACUACUUCUACCA